GAUGAAGAACGUAGCGAAAUGCGAUACGUAAUGUGAAUUGCAAAUUCAGUGGAUCAUCGAGUCUUUGAACGCACAUUGCGCCCCCUGGUAUUCCGGGGGGCAUGCCUGUCCGAGCGUCAUUGCUGCCCUCAAGCACGGCUUGUGUGUUGGGCCCCGUCCUCCGAUUCCGGGGGACGGGCCCGAAAGGCAGCGGCGGCACCGCGUCCGGUCCUCGAGCGUAUGGGGCUUUGUCACCCGCUCUGUAGGCCCGGCCGGCGCUUGCCGAUCAACCCAAAUUUUUAUCCAGGUUGACCUCGGAUCAGGUAGGGAUACCCGCUGAACUUAAGCAUAUCAAUAAGCGGAGGA
rnacentral:misc_RNA from 1 species